rnacentral:rRNA from 1 species
AUGCCAGGAUUGGAGCAAUCGAAAUGUUCUGCUUCAGAUUUAACACCUGUCACUCGGGAAGUGUUGAGUUCUGACAGCAAGGGUGAGAACACUCUAAAGGAUCCAAUAUACAGCAAACCAAACGGGAGAAUGAAGAAAACAGGGAGGCAGAAAAGUAUAGUAGAAGAAAUCAUAUCAAAGCCUAAAGUGACUUGUUCGGGGUGCAAGAAACAAGGACACAACAUUACAGGGUGCAAGCAAAUAGAACAAGAGUCGCCAGAAAAACCUCAAAAAACAGCCAGGAGAAAGAUUGCAAAGCAAUGUAAAGAGAAGACCGCAAAAAAAACAUAG